rnacentral:rRNA from 1 species
AUACGUAGGGUGCAAGCGUUAAUCGGAAUUACUGGGCGUAAAGCGUGCGCAGGCGGUUCGGAAAGAAGGAUGUGAAAUCCCGGGGCUCAACCUUGGAACUGCAUUCUUAACUACCGAACUAGAGUAUGUCAGAGGGGGGUAGAAUUCCGCGUGUAGCAGUGAAAUGCGUAGAUAUGCGGAGGAAUACCGAUGGCGAAGGCAGCCCCCUGGGUUAAUACUGACGCUCAUGCACGAAAGCGUGGGUAGCAAACAGGAUUAGAUACCCUGGUAGUCCACGCCCUAAACGAUGUCAACUAGCUGUUGGGCCCUUCGGGGCUUAGUAGCGUAGCUAACGCGUGAAGUUGACCGCCUGGGGAGUACGGUCGCAAGAUUAAAACUCAAAUGAAUUGACGGGG